rnacentral:rRNA from 1 species
AUUGAACGCUGGCGGCAUGCUUUACACAUGCAAGUCGAACGGUAACAGGCCUUCGGGUGCUGACGAGUGGCGAACGGGUGAGUAAUGCAUCGGAACGUGCCCAGAGGUGGGGGAUAACGCAGCGAAAGCUGUGCUAAUACCGCAUGUGAUCUGAGGAUGAAAGCGGGGGACCAGGCAGCAAUGUUUGGCCUCGCGCCUUUGGAGCGGCCGAUGUCAGAUUAGGUAGUUGGUGGGGUAAAGGCCUACCAAGCCGACGAUCUGUAGCUGGUCUGAGAGGACGACCAGCCACACUGGGACUGAGACACGGCCCAGACUCCUACGGGAGGCAGCAGUGGGGAAUUUUGGACAAUGGGCGCAAGCCUGAUCCAGCAAGGCCGCGUGCGGGAAGAAGGCCUUCGGGUUGUAAACCGCUUUUGUACGGAACGAAAAGGCUCUGGCUAAUACCUGGGGCUGAUGACGGUACCGUAAGAAUAAGCACCGGCUAACUACGUG